GACGAACGCUGGCGGCGUGCCUAAUACAUGCAAGUAGAACGCUGAAGGAGGAGCUUGCUUCUCUGGAUGAGUUGCGAACGGGUGAGUAACGCGUAGGUAACCUGCCUGGUAGCGGCGGAUAACUAUUGGAAACGAUAGCUAAUACCGCAUAAGAGUAGAUGUUGCAUGACAUUUGCUUAAAAGGUGCAAUUGCAUCACUACCAGAUGGACCUGCGUUGUAUUAGCUAGUUGGUGGGGUAACGGCUCACCAAGGCGACGAUACAUAGCCGACCUGAGAGGGUGAUCGGCCACACUGGGACUGAGACACGGCCCAGACUCCUACGGGAGGCAGCAGUAGGGAAUCUUCGGCAAUGGACGGAAGUCUGACCGAGCAACGCCGCGUGAGUGAAGAAGGUUUUCGGAUCGUAAAGCUCUGUUGUAAGAGAAGAACGAGUGUGAGAGUGGAAAGUUCACACUGUGACGGUAUCUUACCAGAAAGAGACGGCUAACUACGUG
rnacentral:rRNA from 1 species